ensembl:snoRNA
CCUGAAUCCUUAACCUACAAAACAGUGCUUUAAAACCAGUCCUCUGCCGCACUCUCCCUGGGCUCUGUCCCAGUGGCUGGGGUACAGAGCAUAGGGCACCCGCUGCCCAGGGAUGGGGAUGUCCAGUCCCUUUCCACAGUGCUGAGAUGGAGCUGGGCUUGAGUCUGCACCUGGAUCUUCCUAUGACUUCUCAUAGUCCCAUGAACAAUGACCGAGGAGACAAACCAUGCAGAAAACAGUC